UACGGAGGGUGCAAGCGUUAAUCGGAAUUACUGGGCGUAAAGCGCACGCAGGUGGCUGAGUCAGUCGAUUGUGAAAGCCCUGGGCUUAACCUGGGAAUUGCAGUCGAUACUACUCAGCUAGAGUAUGGGAGAGGGCAGUGGAAUUCCCGGUGUAGCGGUGAAAUGCGCAGAUAUCGGGAGGAACACCAAUUGCGAAGGCAGCUCGCUGGGACGUCACUGACGCUGAGACGCGAAAGCGUGGGGAGCAAACAGG
rnacentral:rRNA from 1 species